AAAUAAACUAAAUAGGAAUAUUAUUUUAGAGUCCUUAAUAAAUUAGCAAAUAUAAAUAAAAUCUAUUUAGGAAAAUAAAAGAAUCCAAUUAAAAAUAAAAUUUUUGUGAAAUAUGGAAAAUGCUAAGUCUAGUAUUGAUUUGCGCACGGCAUCGGUAAAGAGAAAAUGGCCAUGUCUGUGUAGAUUUGCCUAAGAUUGUGCAAGAAUUUUGAAAAAUUGGUUCUCUGUAGGUUGGAAUGAGAAAAUGCCCUAAAACUUGAACCAAAUAUUUUUAGUUCAGUUUUAUUUAUUUAUUUUUAAUUUAGGU
rnacentral:misc_RNA from 1 species